CAUUGUAGCAAUGCCAAUUAGUAAGUGUUCCAGAAGGUACAUGAGCGCUCCAUAGGAAAUAAAAAAGACUACCAUAUAUAAUAAUGGUAAUGGUAUUAAUGGAGUCAUGGUUUCAUGUUUUUGUUUACUGGGGGGAAUGCUACACCUAGUAAGACCAGAUGUAUGGUCUCUCAUGUCAGUAAAAUUAAACCUUCAAGUUCCACCAAGGAGAAAUAACAUAAAACAGAGAUGAUUGACUAUUUGUACAUAAACAAAAAUGUGAAGUCCCCAAGACUUCCAAACAAAAACCAGAAGGCCAGAUAGUGUGGCUUCUCCUAUAUCUCCACCCCAUGGCCCA